AACUGGUAACUUGGAGAAUGAGAACUAUUAAUUUAUCUAAUAAAUUAAUUUACCUAAUAAAUUGAUCUGAUCAAAUAAAGUUCUAAAUGUAUAUAUAUAUAAUGACAAUAUACAUAUUAUGCCUUGACUAAUUACGUGCCAGCAGUCGCGGUAAUACGUAAGAGGCUAGUGUUAUUCAUCUUAAAUAGGUUUAAAGGGUACUUAGACGGUAAAAUUCUCCCUAAAAAGGGAACGAAUUUACUAGAGUUUUAUGUAAAAAGAUAGUACUUGGGGUGAAAGAGUUAGAAUUCGAUGAUACCUUGGGGACUGAUUAGGGCGAAGGCAAUCUUUUAUGUAUAAACUGACGUUAAAGGACGAAGGCGUAGAUAGCGAAAGGGAUUAGAUACCCCAUUAGUCUACGCAGAAAAUGAUGAAUGCCAUAGACUAGGGAACUUUUCAUGAAUACAUGAAAUAAAACUUGGUUUAUAAAUGAAAGUGUAAGCAUUUCACCUCAAGAGUAAAGUGGCAACACCGAAACUGAAAUCACUAGGCCGUUUCUGACCCCAGCAGUGAAGUAUGUUAUUUAAUUCGAUGAUCCACGAAAAACCUUACCACAAUUUGAAUGUUAUUAAUUUAAUUUAUCUAAAGUUAGCUUAACCGAGAUAAGUUUUAAUAAUACAAGUGUUGCACGGCUGUUUUCAGUUAAUGUUGUGAAACUGCGGAUCCGUCCGUGAAAUUAGCGAGUACCCGGGCUUUAUUUAUAUAUUAAUCAAUAUAAAGCAUUUCCUAGUUCAACACAAUCGCUAGGAUAAAGGGGCUAAGACAAGUCAUCAUGGCCU
rnacentral:rRNA from 1 species